rnacentral:rRNA from 1 species
ACGGGUGAGUAACGCGUGGGCAACCUGCCCUUGAGACUGGGAUAACUUCGGGAAACCGGAGCUAAUACCGGAUAAUAUGAGGAACCUCCUGGUUCUUUAUUGAAAGAUGGUUUCGGCUAUCACUUAAGGAUGGGCCCGCGGCGCAUUAGCUAGUUGGUGAGGUAACGGCUCACCAAGGCGACGAUGCGUAGCCGACCUGAGAGGGUGAUCGGCCACACUGGGACUGAGACACGGCCCAGACUCCUACGGGAGGCAGCAGUAGGGAAUCUUCCACAAUGGACGAAAGUCUGAUGGAGCAACGCCGCGUGAGUGAUGAAGGCCUUCGGGUCGUAAAGCUCUGUUGUUAGGGAAGAACAAGUGCGAGAGUAACUGCUCGCACCUUGACGGUACCUAACCAGAAAGCCACGGCUAACUACGUGCCAGCAGCCGCGGUAAUACGUAGGUGGCAAGCGUUAUCCGGAAUUAUUGGGCGUAAAGCGCGCGCAGGUGGUUUCUUAAGUCUGAUGUGAAAGCCCACGGCUCAACCGUGGAGGGUCAUUGGAAACUGGGGAACUUGAGUGCAGAAGAGGAAAGUGGAAUU